rnacentral:rRNA from 1 species
UGCGAAUGCUGACAUAAGUAACGAUAAAGCGGGUGAAAAGCCCGCUCGCCGGAAGACCAAGGGUUCCUGUCCAACGUUAAUCGGGGCAGGGUGAGUCGACCCCUAAGGCGAGGCCGAAAGGCGUAGUCGAUGGGAAACAGGUUAAUAUUCCUGUACUUGGUGUUACUGCGAAGGGGGGACGGAGAAGGCUAUGUUGGCCGGGCGACGGUUGUCCCGGUUUAAGCGUGUAGGCUGGUUUUCCAGGCAAAUCCGGAAAAUCAAGGCUGAGGCGUGAUGACGAGGCACUACGGUGCUGAAGCAACAAAUGCCCUGCUUCCAGGAAAAGCCUCUAAGCAUCAGGUAACAUCAAAUCGUACCCCAAACCGACACAGGUGGUCAGGUAGAGAAUACCAAGGCGCUUGAGAGAACUCGGGUGAAGGAACUAGGCAAAAUGGUGCCGUAACUUCGGGAGAAGGCACGCUGAUAUGUAGGUGAAGCGACUUGCUCGUGGAGCUGAAAUCAGUCGAAGAUACCAGCUGGCUGCAACUGUUUAUUAAAAACACAGCACUGUGCAAACACGAAAGUGGACGUAUACGGUGUGACGCCUGCCCGGUGCCGGAAGGUUAAUUGAUGGGGUUAGCGCAAGCGAAGCUCUUGAUCGAAGCCCCGGUAAACGGCGGCCGUAACAAUAACGGUCCUAAGGUAGCGAAAUUCCUUGUCGGGUAAGUUCCGACCUGCACGAAUGGCGUAAUGAUGGCCAGGCUGUCUCCACCCGAGACUCAGUGAAAUUGAACUCGCUGUGAAGAUGCAGUGUACCCGCGGCAAGACGGAAAGACCCCGUGAACCUUUACUAUAGCUUGACACUGAACAUUGAGCCUUGAUGUGUAGGAUAGGUGGGAGGCUUUGAAGUGUGGACGCCAGUCUGCAUGGAGCCGACCUUGAAAUACCACCCUUUAAUGUUUGAUGUUCUAACGUUGACCCGUAAUCCGGGUUGCGGACAGUGUCUGGUGGGUAGUUUGACUGGGGCGGUCUCCUCCUAAAGAGUAACGGAGGAGCACGAAGGUUGGCUAAUCCUGGUCGGACAUCAGGAGGUUAGUGCAAUGGCAUAAGCCAGCUUGACUGCGAGCGUGACGGCGCGAGCAGGUGCGAAAGCAGGUCAUAGUGAUCCGGUGGUUCUGAAUGGAAGGGCCAUCGCUCAACGGAUAAAAGGUACUCCGGGGAUAACAGGCUGAUACCGCCCAAGAGUUCAUAUCGACGGCGGUGUUUGGCACCUCGAUGUCGGCUCAUCACAUCCUGGGGCUGAAGUAGGUCCCAAGGGUAUGGCUGUUCGCCAUUUAAAGUGGUACGCGAGCUGGGUUUAGAACGUCGUGAGACAGUUCGGUCCCUAUCUGCCGUGGGCGCUGGAGAACUGAGGGGGGCUGCUCCUAGUACGAGAGGACCGGAGUGGACGCAUCACUGGUGUUCGGGUUGUCAUGCCAAUGGCACUGCCCGGUAGCUAAAUGCGGAAGAGAUAAGUGCUGAAAGCAUCUAAGCACGAAACUUGCCCCGAGAUGAGUUCUCCCUGACUCCUUGAGAGUCCUGAAGGAACGUUGAAGACGACGACGUUGAUAGGCCGGGUGUGUAAGCGCAGCGAUGCGUUGAGCUAACCGGUACUAAUGAACCGUGAGGCUUAACC